CAGAGGGUGCAAACGUUGUUCGGAAUUACUGGGCGUAAAGCGCAUGUAGGCGGCCUAGCAGGUCGGAUGUGAAAUCCCUCGGCUCAACCAAGGAAGUGCAUUCGAAACCGCAAGGCUCGAGUCCCGGAGAGGAUGGUGGAAUUCUCGGUGUAGAGGUGAAAUUCGUAGAUAUCGAGAGGAACACCGGCGGCGAAGGCGGCCAUCUGGACGAGGACUGACGCUGAGAUGCGAAAGCGUGGGGAGCAAACAGGAUUAGAUACCCUGGUAGUCCACGCUGUAAACGAUGGGUGCUAGGUGUCACGGGCUUUGACCCCUGUGGUGCCGUAGCCAACGCAUUAAGCACCCCGCCUGGGAAGUACGGUCGCAAGACUA
rnacentral:rRNA from 1 species